GGGGGCCGUGGGGCUGAGCUGCUCCUCCCCCAGGUGAGCUCUACGAUCUGGAUGCGGCCUCACUGCAGCUCAAGGUGGUCAACUACCUGAAGCAGGAGACCCAGUCGCUGUGCUGCUGCCUCCUGCUGGUCUCGGAGGACAACCAUCAGCUCUUCUGCCAGGUUGUAGGGGAUCGCGUCCUGGAGGAGGAGAUCAGCUUUUCGCUCACCUUCGGGCGCCUGGGGAGGGUGGUGGAGGACAAAAAUCCCAUUACCCUAAAGGACAUCAGCGAGGUGAGUGAACCCCUGUAUGGGGUCUGUGGGAUGUCCUUACGGGGUGACCCUAUGGGGUGGUGCUGUGGGGUCUUCUUA